rnacentral:rRNA from 1 species
CUACACAUGCAAGUCGAGCGGUAGAGAGAAGCUUGCUUCUCUUGAGAGCGGCGGACGGGUGAGUAAUGCCUAGGAAUCUGCCUGGUAGUGGGGGAUAACGUUCGGAAACGGACGCUAAUACCGCAUACGUCCUACGGGAGAAAGCAGGGGACCUUCGGGCCUUGCGCUAUCAGAUGAGCCUAGGUCGGAUUAGCUAGUUGGUGGGGUAAUGGCUCACCAAGGCGACGAUCCGUAACUGGUCUGAGAGGAUGAUCAGUCACACUGGAACUGAGACACGGUCCAGACUCCUACGGGAGGCAGCAGUGGGGAAUAUUGGACAAUGGGCGAAAGCCUGAUCCAGCCAUGCCGCGUGUGUGAAGAAGGUCUUCGGAUUGUAAAGCACUUUAAGUUGGGAGGAAGGGUUGUAGAUUAAUACUCUGCAGUUUUGACGUUACCGACAGAAUAAGCACCGGCUAACUCUGUGCCAGCAGCCGCGGUAAUACAGAGGGUGCAAGCGUUAAUCGGAAUUACUGGGCGUAAAGCGCGCGUAGGUGGUUUGUUAAGUUGGAUGUGAAAUCCCCGGGCUCAACCUGGGAACUGCAUUCAAAACUGACUGACUAGAGUAUGGUAGAGGGUGGUGGAAUUUCCUGUGUAGCGGUGAAAUGCGUAGAUAUAGGAAGGAACACCAGUGGCGAAGGCGACCACCUGGACUAAUACUGACACUGAGGUGCGAAAGCGUGGGGGAGCAAACAGGAUUAGAUACCCUGGUAGUCCACGCCGUAAACGAUGUCAACUAGCCGUUGGAAGCCUUGAGCUUUUAGUGGCGCAGCUAACGCAUUAAGUUGACCGCCUGGGGAGUACGGCCGCAAGGUUAAAACUCAAAUGAAAUUGACGGGGGCCCGCACAAGCGGGUGGAGCAUGUGGUUUUAAUUUCGAAGCAACGCGAAGAACCUUUACCCAGGCCUUGACAUCCAAUGAACUUUCUAGAGAUAGAUUGGUGCCUUCGGGAACAUUGAGACAGGUGCUGCAUGGCUGUCGUCAGCUCGUGUCGUGAGAUGUUGGGUUAAGUCCCGUAACGAGCGCAACCCUUGUCCUUAGUUACCAGCACGUUAUGGUGGGCACUCUAAGGAGACUGCCGGUGACAAACCGGAGGAAGGUGGGGAUGACGUCAAGUCAUCAUGGCCCUUACGGCCUGGGCUACACACGUGCUACAAUGGUCGGUACAGAGGGUUGCCAAGCCGCGAGGUGGAGCUAAUCCCAUAAAACCGAUCGUAGUCCGGAUCGCAGUCUGCAACUCGACUGCGUGAAGUCGGAAUCGCUAGUAAUCGCGAAUCAGAAUGUCGCGGUGAAUACGUUCCCGGGCCUUGUACACACCGCCCGUCACACCAUGGGAGUGGGUUGCACCAGAAGUAGCUAGUCUAACCUUCGGGAGGACGGUUACCACGGUGUGAUUCAUGACUGGGGUGAAGUCGUAACAAGUAGC